rnacentral:tRNA from 1 species
GCAGUAUGGCCGAAAAUCCGGGGUUAAUCCGGGGUGUUUCGAUUUGCUUCGUCCAUUUUUUUCAAGCCCUUGAGCGUUGGCUCUGCCCUCCGAAGGCAGAGGUCACACGUUCGAAUCGUGUCGGGUGCGCCA